rnacentral:rRNA from 1 species
UACGAAGGGGGCGAGCGUUGUUCGGAAUUACUGGGCGUAAAGGCGCGCAGGCGGCUCUGAAAGUCAGAUGUGAAAGCCCCGGGCUUAACCUGGGAAUUGCAUUUGAUACUCUGGAGCUUGAGUACGGGAGAGGAGAGUGGAAUUCCCAGUGUAGAGGUGAAAUUCGUAGAUAUUGGGAAGAACACCGGUGGCGAAGGCGGCUCUCUGGACCGUAACUGACGCUGAGGCGCGAAAGCGUGGGAGCAAACAGG